rnacentral:rRNA from 1 species
CUAGACAGCCUUACCUCUUGCAGUUCUCACCUGGUUUCAAACUGAAGCUAAGCAGCAUUGAGUCUGGCCAGUACCUGGAUGGGAGAUCUCUUGAGGAAAACUAAGGUUGCUGCUGGA